GGAAGGGGUGUAUUUAUUAGAUAAAAAACCAACGCCCUUCGGGGCUUCUUGGUGAUUCAUGAUAACUUCACGGAUCGCAUGGCCUUGCGCCGGCGACGGUUCAUUCAAAUUUCUGCCCUAUCAACUUUCGAUGGUAAGGUAUUGGCUUACCAUGGUUUCAACGGGUAACGGGGAAUUAGGGUUCGAUUCCGGAGAGGGAGCCUGAGAAACGGCUACCACAUCCAAGGAAGGCAGCAGGCGCGCAAAUUACCCAAUCCCGACACGGGGAGGUAGUGACAAUAAAUACUGAUACAGGGCUCUUUUGGGUCUUGUAAUUGGAAUGAGUACAAUUUAAACCUCUUAACGAGAAACAAUUGGAGGGCAAGUCUGGUGCCAGCAGCCGCGGUAAUUCCAGCUCCAAUAGCGUAUAUUAAAGUUGUUGCAGUUAAAAAGCUCGUAGUUGAAACUUGGGCCUGGCUGGCAGGUCCGCCUCACCGCGUGUACUUGUCCGGCCGGGCCUUUCCUUCUGGAGAACCUCAUGCCCUUCACUGGGUGUGCUGGGGAACCAGGACUUUUAC
rnacentral:rRNA from 1 species